AUGAUGAAAUGUCAAACUAAACACUUGCAUGGAUGUGAGUGGCUGCUUUUUUCACUACAAGCAAAGCUACACUAUUAUGAUGAGAAGUUUGAUUGUGAGAAAGGAAUCAAAACCCAGCUUCUGAACUUUGUGGCAUUAGGUUCUGCUGGUUAUCUAUUGGACUCUGACCUUACCCAUGAUGUCUUAACUGUUGCUCAGCCUUCCCACAUUCUCUCACCUGUACUACAUCUUGCAAGAUUCUACAAAAUUUCUGAGAUAAAAGAACAAGAUGACACAGGGAGGCAAGGAAACUGGCGAAUGUUGAUUUUAUGUCAUGUGCCAAGAAAGGUGUGA
rnacentral:lncRNA from 1 species